rnacentral:rRNA from 1 species
AUGGCGUGGGUGAGGGACAUGAAGACGAAGCUCGAGGACGCCGAGCUGCCGGACAAGGUGCAGAGAUGGCCGAAGCACUGCAUUUUCAGCGUCCCACCGCGCUUCAAGAUGGUCGACAGCAGCGUCUACAAGCCGCAGACUGUGUCUCUCGGCCCAUUCCAUCAUGGCGCUCAGGACCUGAAAUCCAUGGAGGAGCACAAGUUGAGGGCUGUCCGUCACCUCCUGGCCCGGGACAGCUACAUAACCUCCCUUGACGACCUUGUCAGGGCCGUGGAAGAGGUGGCCGACGAGCUGGAGGACUCCUACAUGGACCUAAGUGGAGAGUGGCGUGGCAAGGAGAACAGGGGCAAGUUCCUCGAGAUGAUGAUCACGGACGGCUGCUUCCUGCUGGAGGUGAUGAGGACGGACGCGACCCAAAAGGAGGACUCCGUUGUAAAGGGCUAUGCGCACGACCCCGUCUUCAGCUGGUAUGGCAUACAACACAUCAAGCCGUUCGUCCAACGUGACAUGCUCUUGGUAGAGAACCAGCUGCCACUCAGGUUGCUCCAGAGAAUCGUUGCCAUGGAGGAACGCAACUCUCCGAGGCAGAACACAGAUUCCAUAAAUUCCAUGGUGCUCAAGUUCCUGGGGCAGAAAGAUGCACAGCCCAGAUAUGAGUUGGGACUCCACCCGCUCGACAUCUACCGGACGAGCCAGUUCAGGGGCAUCCAAGAGCAUAUUAACACUGCCAGUUGUCUGAUGAUCCAUCAUCAACAUAUGAUGCGGGAGGAGACCCAUCGUCCACAGAGACCCCUGGCCCGAUCUGCGCGGGAGCUGACCGAGGCAGGGAUCCGGUUACUGCCCAUAGAGACAAGCCGCCUCAACGAUUUCCGGUUCGAUAGGAGUGAUGGGACGCUCCAAAUGCCCAAGAUCCACGUGCAUGACUCCACCGCCUACAUGUUCCGCAACAUGAUGGCGUUCGAGGUGCUGCGCGUCGGCACCACCAACGACGUGACGGCGUACGUCAUGUUUCUCAAGGACAUCGUCGACUCCGCCUACGAUGUUCGCCUGCUGGUGAGGAACGGGGUCCUGGAGCACGACCUUGCCAACGACAACGCCGUGGUGAGGCUCUUCAACGGCCUCACCAGGGACGUGACAAGGAACUGGGAGAAUCAGCUGGCGUACAUGAAGGUGCGUGAAGACGUGGAGAACUACUGCAUGACCCACCACCGCACCAACUGCGUGCGCCUCUUUCUCAAUCAAUCCUGGGCCUACCUCAUGACCAAGUACUUGAGCAACCCCUGGACAUUCCUUGGCCUCGUCACCGCCACCUUGCUCCUCGUCGCAGAUAUCGUGCAGGCCGUGUAUGCAGUCAAAUCGUACAAAGAGGGCAAAUGA